UUGAUCCUGGCUCAGAAUCAACGCUGGCGGUGUCCUUACACAUGCAAGUCGAUCGAGAAAGGGGGCAACUCCCUGAGUACAGCGGGCGCACGGGUGAGUAACACGUGGGAAUCUGCCCUGGAGUGGGGAAUAACACCGGAAACUCGGUGCUAAUACCGCAUACGAUAACGAGGUCUUCGAACUCUGUUAUGAAAGGAGCAAUUCGCUCUAGAAGGAGCCCGCGGCUGUUUGCUAGUUGGUGAGGUAACGGCUCACCAAGGCUACGAUCAAGUAUCCGUCUGAGAGGACGGCCGGACACACUGGAACUGAGACACGGUCCAGACUCCUACGGGAGGCAGCAGUGGGGAAUUUUUCGCAAUGGGGGCAACCCUGACGAAGCAACGCCGCGUGGGUGAUGAAGUCUCUUGGGACUGUAAAACCCUUUCGACGGGGAAGAAACCGCAAGGUUGACGG
rnacentral:rRNA from 1 species